rnacentral:rRNA from 1 species
AUGAACGCUGGCGGCGUGCCUAAUACAUGCAAGUCGCGCGAACAGACGAGGAGCUUGCUCCUCUGACGUUAGCGGCGGACGGGUGAGUAACACGUGGAUAACCUACCUAUAAGACUGGGAUAACUUCGGGAAACCGGAGCUAAUACCGGAUAACAUGUUGAACCGCAUGGUUUAACAGUGAAAGACGGUCUUGCUGUCACUUAUAGAUGGAUCCGCGCCGCAUUAGCUAGUUGGUAAGGUAACGGCUUACCAAGGCAACGAUGCGUAGCCGACCUGAGAGGGUGAUCGGCCACACUGGAACUGAGACACGGUCCAGACUCCUACGGGAGGCAGCAGUAGGGAAUCUUUCGCAAUGGGCGAAAGCCUGACGGAGCAACGCCGCGUGAGUGAAGAAGGUCUUCGGAUCGUAAAACUCUGUUAUUAGGGAAGAACAAAUGUGUAAGUAACUAUGCACGUCUUGACGGUACCUAAUCAGAAAGCCACGGCUAACUACGUG